UACGAAGGGGGCGAGCGUUGUUCGGAUUUACUGGGCGUAAAGGGCGCGCAGGCGGCGCAUUUUGUCAGGCGUGAAAGCCCCCGGCUCAACUGGGGAGGGUCAUUCGAUACUGAUCGACUUGAAGGCAGGAGAGGGAAGUGGAAUUCCGGGUGUAGUGGUGAAAUGCGUAGAUAUCCGGAGGAACACCAGUGGCGAAGGCGACUUCCUGGCCUGUUCUUGACGCUGAGGCGCGAAAGCUGGGGGAGCAAACGGG
rnacentral:rRNA from 1 species